ensembl:processed_transcript
UCAGUGUGCAGAGCUCACUCAGACUUUAACAGUGACUUCCCCGGGCUGUCUGAGCUGGGCGUGCAUGGGCACCCUCAAGGGACCUGGCAGAGCCUGGACAUUACUCACUGUCAGGCCAACAAGGUGGACAGACCUGCUGUUAGGUGACCGAGUCCUCUUUGGUGGGUAUCGCGGUUUUUAUUUCCCCAGCAACUUAACUCGCCUUCUGUUGUAGCUGAGUCUGGCACGGAAGACUCGUGGCGGCCCAGGCCCACGCCAAGUGAGAACAUGCAGAAGAGAAAGCGAGUCGGUGGAUGUGGGUGAGAAGAAACCUGACAACUCCCUGUUUCCAGAAGAGACGGUCGAGCCAAGACGGAAGUGAGGGGCUUCUCAGGCCCCAAGCCUAGGGAAUGUCCCUGCCCAUAGCUACAGUGUCUCUUCUCGUCUCAGUGAACUAAUCGAGAUAGCGUCUCAUAGGCUCAGCUAGAGACUCAUCUCACUGAGACGGCCCUCAUAGAUGCUCUCUGACCAAGUCAUUCUAGACGCCAUCCUCUUGACCAUUGAUCCUGACGAUCACACCGAUCAGCAGGAGGGUAAAGAUCUAAGCCCAGUUUCUGAGACACCAGAAGGGUGGGGGAGACAGAGUCCACACUACUCUGGCUGACAAGCAGCCUCGGGGAAAAGAGUUCAGUCUGUUCAUCUGAGUGAAGACUACAGGGAUGGUAUUGCUACCGACGGAGCUAAAGGAAAACCUGAUGCAGUAUCAAAGGAGAUGUCAAGAUGGACAUGAGCAAGAAAAAGAACAGGAAGGGGACAAGGCAGGUGACGAGGAACAAGAUGAUGGUGAUGAUUAAGUUCUUGCACAGUUUUUCUCCUUGUCGAUAAAGCAUUUAAAUCUCCUUACAACUCCCUUCUUUUAAGGAAAAAACUGAAGUGCAAGGUUGUGUAAGAUUUGUUUUUAAAGUGUAUAGUGUCUGGGUUUUGUGUAGUUAACACGACUGAGUGUCUUUAGAUAGCUCUGUCCUGAUGGUGUUCUCAGUAGCCAUGGACUAAUCGUGCCUCGGAAAUGGCAUGUUGUUGGUGUACAGCACAUGUUAUUUACAUGUGGAGUUGGUAUCCUCAUUCCUCUUUCUGUUCUCUGGCCUUGUUCAUACGAAAAUAAUUCUCCUGUGAACCGAGUAUCACUUUGUAAUUAUACAAGUGAAUUGCUGCUAUCUCGUUGACAUUCUCAAUGUUUUUAAAUAAAUACAAAAUUUUAUUAAGAGAAGAAAAUGUGGUUUGUGUGUACAAGAGGGUGUUAUUCAACUGCAGAGAACAAAUAGCAGAUGCUUUCCUCACAUGAGAUAAGAAGAUCUUGAGAGAAGAGAGUGGGUGAAGUCGACCACAGGACAGGGACAAGAGAUGGGCUGAAUAUAAUUGAUGUACAUUGCCUAUGUGUAUAAAAAUAUAACAGCCACUUAUUUUAUACAAACAUACGCUAAUUUAAAAGAAAAGUACACCAUUUCUUAUUUAUCUUCAAACCAUUGGCAUCGACAUAAUAGAAAAAGAGAAUUCUUUUUCUAAGGGCCUUUUGGGGUGUGGUCUCUAUUGCGAAUACCUAGAAGCCAUCUCCACAGAGGGAGAGUUCUAGAGGAUCAUGGGAGGAAGAAGUGUCUGUAGUGUGUCACAGGAGACAGAAGUCUCUGGAGAUUUUGUGGAGGUUGGACUGAGGAAGGGGACAAGUAGUCGAGAUGUGGAAAGGCCACAGAAACACUGCUCAUUUUAAUCCAUGAAGUGCGAGGUGAACAGGAGAAGCCUAGAGACAUAGAUAGGUGCGACUGAGGGGAGAGAAUCUUGGACACGAUAGCUGCUGUCCUCUUUCAGAGAAGUGAAGACAGCUGAGCUGGGCUCCCAUCUCCCCUUGAGCAUGGGGUGUACGGCAGCUUGCUGCAGGCACAGGAGGGCUAACAAGGCCUGGGAAGUUUUCUAUUUCCAUCCUGCGGUCGUCUCUUGGGUGGGAAGCUUCACAAAGUUGGCAUUUCUGCGGGACAGAACUUUAGUCCUUCUGCUUAAUCACUAUCUCUCUCUGUAGUUACCCCCACUCCUUUUAUCCAUAAAUGGGAUUAAUAAUCAUGAUACCCACAAAACAUAUAAUAAGUUUGAGGCUCAAAUGGGUUAUGGGAAGAGCCUUGAAUGGUACCUGGUAGCCAAUAAGCACUAAAUACAAAUUGUUAAUUAAGGUUCAUAAGUAACAUAUGAUGGGUAAUCUUGGUUGUUAACUUGACUCACCAGAUAAGGGGGAACCUCAGUUGAGUUUGGGCUACAUAAGAAAGGAUCCUGAGCCUGGGAGCAGCUAAUACACAGCCUUCCUUCUUCCAUGGUUUCUGUUUCUGUUCCUCCCUAAGUGCCUGCUCUAACUGCUCACAGUGAUUGAUUGUGACCUGGAAGUUUAAGCCAAAUAAACCCUUUUCCUCCCAAGACACUUUUGGUCACGGUGGAGGUAUUUUUGGUUUUUGCUUUUGUUUUUGUUUUGUUGUGUCUUUCUGACAGUAAUGAGAAAGUAUCUGAGACCUACUACUGCUCUAAAAUCAAGUGUGACCAGUAGGCAUCUGGAGUCAUGUUGGACAUCUGUACCAUCUAACAGUUGCUACAAUUGCUAUCCUGAUGAAUGUGCCAGCCCAGGACACAGGAAAAGGCCAGGAGAGAUCAUGGGAGACUCUGGGCACAGGCGAGGCAAAGGGAGACCCUGGGCGCAUUCUCUAUAUUUUAUUGAUUCUACUUGCAUACGAACCUCACCGUGUGAGAAGGCUAGUUUUUAACGGUCAGUUCAACAAUCUAGAACCGCCUCGGAGAAAAGGACAGUGAGGGCCUGACUAGUCAGGUUAGGCAGCGGACACCGCUACAGAUGGUCAUCUUGAUUGCGUCCACGGAGGAAGACCAAGCGGUGUGGGUGGCAGGGAACCCUGGACUGUCAAAAAGUUGGAGAGAGCCAGAUGAGGCCUAGCAUACGUGUGUCAGCUCACUGCUAACUGCUCCUUACUGUGGGUACCAUGUGAGUAGCUGCCUCAACUCCUGCCAUCCUGAUGUCCCAGCAUGGAUGACAACCUGGAGUUGUAAGCCAGAUGACCACUUACAUUCUGUCAGGGUAUUUUUAUUAUAGCAACAGGAAAGAAAACUUAAAUACUUGUUGUAUUUCCAGUUUAACUUCGUUUGAAUGCUUCUGGGGGAGAAAGGUGUACUUAAAGAUUCUUACUUAUGUCAUCUAUAAUUUUCUUUUAUGAAGAGGUGCUAACCCCUCAGUCCAUCGCCACCCCAGUGUUGGACAAAGUCUUUGUAUGAAGCUGUCUGCCACAGAAGCAUGGGUCGUGUGGUUACCUUCUACCCAAAUAUUCUAUUUUCAAGCCAUGUCAUCAAGACACCUCCAAAGUGUCAGAUUUCCCUCAUGUUCUACGCAGAUCCUGGGUCUUUGGGAUCCAGAGAGCAGAGCCUUGGGAGAGAAGAGAAGAGAAGAUGAGCAUCUUACGAAAAAAAGUAGAGAAGAAGCCAGGGAUCCAGCUGUUCCCAUUGUACAACCCCUGGAUGCUAUGACCAACCUCCCUCCAGAAGGCAUGAGCCCCAGAUUAGGGGCUGGCUUUUUCCUUUUCCGGGGAAGAUGCCCUCCUCUAGUUUAGAGGCUGUGGGCUGUGGGGCUAGUUCUAUUCUCUGGCUUGUUUCCUGGCAUGGAAACCUGAGAGCUGCCACCACUGCUGUCCCUGACAUCACGGUGUUCUUUCCAUUACUCAGGCAAGCACUUUGUUCUCACAUUGAAGCCUUAGCACAACUGUGUCCUCUACCCAGAAUAUCUGGCUACUCCACCAGGAGACUUUCGUCAUUCUCUUGUUUUAUCCCCAACAAUUCAUAACUCUUGUUUGUUUUUUUAAAUAAAUAACAUCUUUAAUU